rnacentral:sRNA from 1 species
CAGUGAAUCAUUCUGAAUCUUUGAACGCACCUUGCCGCUCCUUGGUAUUCCGAGGAGCAUGCCUGUUUGAGUGUCAUGAAAUUCUCAACCUUUCUGGCUUUUAWAUGAGCUAGCCAGGCUUGGAUUGUGGAAGCUGCUGGCUUCUUGCAAGAUCAGCUCUUCUUAAAUGUAUUAGCAAAAUCCUUGCUGACCAUCAUUGGUAUGAUAAUUAUCUAUACCAUUGGGAGUCAGUGGUUCAGGCUCCGCUUGGGAUAUCUAUAUUGUCCACAAGUGUUCGCUCAACCUCUUUGAAGCACCAGACUUUGGCACAGAUGUUGACUCGUCUGAAUGGUGUUGAAUACUUCAGGUUGACGAAGCGAGGCGUUCUUAGGAGCGACUCACGAGAGCAAGCAGCAUCAGAGCUCGUCUUCCAGUUGUGGGAGGCUUGAUGCACUGGUGUGUGCAAUGUCAUAUUCCUGUACCUGCCCUAUGCUACUAUGUAGCUUUGACGGGUCUGGUCAAACCAUGACCUGAACAUAUCCUUAGUGGGAGGAUCUUGCUUCUAAAUGUUGUUCCUAGGGACAAAAUAUUGACAAUUGACCUCAAAUCAGGUAGGACUACCCGCUGAACUAAGCAUAUCAUAAGCGAAGGAAA